ensembl:snRNA U6 U6 spliceosomal RNA
GUGCUCACUUUGGCAGCACGUACACUAAAAUUGGAAUGAUACAGAGAAAAUUAGCAUGGCCCCUGUGCAAGGAUGACACAUGAAUUCAUGACACAUUCCACAUUUUU